rnacentral:rRNA from 1 species
UACGGGAGGCAGCAGUGGGGAAUAUUGCACAAUGGGCGCAAGCCUGAUGCAGCCAUGCCGCGUGUAUGAAGAAGGCCUUCGGGUUGUAAAGUACUUUCAGUCGUGAGGAAGGUGUUAAGGUUAAUAACCUUAGCAAUUGACGUUAGCGACAGAAGAAGCACCGGCUAACUCCGUGCCAGCAGCCGCGGUAAUACGGAGGGUGCGAGCGUUAAUCGGAAUUACUGGGCGUAAAGGGCACGCAGGCGGUUAAUUAAGUUGGAUGUGAAUCCCCGGGCUUAACCUGGGAAUGGCAUUCAAGACUGGUUAGCUAGAGUCUUGUAGAGGGGGUAGAAUUCCAUGUGUAGCGGUGAAAUGCGUAGAGAUGUGGAGGAAUACCGGUGGCGAAGGCGGCCCCUGGGACAAAGACUGACGCUCAUGUGCGAAAGCGUGGGGAGCAAACAGGGAUUUAGAUACC